CCCAAGAGUCCUAUUUUCCAACCUCCUGAUCCCCUGACUCAAACAGAAGCUGGUUCCUAGUCUCAUCCCCUUUGCUGCGGUGGCUGGUUCAGUUAACCCAGCCUUAAGCCCGUCAACGCAAGGCCUUCCCCUGGCCAAAGAGAUUAGCUUAAGGAUAGACAUAUGACCCAAACCGGGCCAUCAAGAUGGGAGAAGUUUUCAGCGGGUUGUGAGAAAGGAGGUUCCUCCCUGGCCUGCGAGACUGACUGGAAGCUAAUCCUCCUCCAUCCAGAUGAAAUUUUCAAGUCACGAGCGAAUCAAUCCUCAGACUGUUUCGGCCAGUCUGUUGGUUCCUUGACUUGCGACGCAAGAUCCCUGAUGGAAUCAAGACUGUCAACUUGAUGAGGUCGGAGGUGGUCUCUCUGGCGGGGUACUUGGCACCCAGAAGGCACCUCAAAAUAUUUAUCGGGUGUAACUGACAAAUUCUUAUGGCUUUUGUGCAAAAACACCGCCUUGGGUUGCGUCCCUCCAGAAGCAGACGCUGAGGUAAGGAUUCGAGUGCCGGGAAAUUGUUGGGCGGUGAU